GUUUAGAACCUGAUAUUUCUCUCUUUGGACAUAAAACCAAUGAUCUGAAAUUUUUUCGGUAAACUGACCCCUAUACACUGUUUCAGCUAUAAUUUUUAGCACCAAAUGUGGAUUCAGGCAAGACCUAGCUCGUUUGAAAUUAGACUCUUAUAUCUUUCUUUUGACACUGAUUUUGUAGAUUUUGGACACCGAAUACUUACCCAAACGUCUAUUUCAAAUGAGUCUAUAGAUGCU
rnacentral:lncRNA from 1 species